UUCGCCCGCCGCGCCCCGCGCCCGUCCCGCCGCCCCCGCCCGCCUACGGGAGGCAGCAGUGGGGAAUAUUGGACAAUGGGCGCAAGCCUGAUCCAGCCAUACCGCGUGGGUGAAGAAGGCCUUCGGGUUGUAAAGCCCUUUUGUUGGGAAAGAAAUCCAGCUGGCUAAUACCCGGUUGGGAUGACGGUACCCAAAGAAUAAGCACCGGCUAACUUCGUGCCAGCAGCCGCGGUAAUACGAAGGGUGCAAGCGUUACUCGGAAUUACUGGGCGUAAAGCGUGCGUAGGUGGUCGUUUAAGUCCGUUGUGAAAGCCCUGGGCUCAACCUGGGAACUGCAGUGGAUACUGGGCGACUAGAGUGUGGUAGAGGGUAGCGGAAUUCCUGGUGUAGCAGUGAAAUGCGUAGAGAUCAGGAGGAACAUCCAUGGCGAAGGCAGCUACCUGGACCAACACUGACACUGAGGCACGAAAGCGUGGGGAGCAAACAGGAUUAGAUACCCUGGUAGUCCACGCCCUAA
rnacentral:rRNA from 1 species